rnacentral:rRNA from 1 species
UACAGGGGGUGCAAACGUUGCUCGGAAUCAUUGGGCGUAAAGCGCGUGUAGGCGGCUUUGCAAGUCGGGUGUGAAAGCCCUCAGCUCAACUGAGGAAGUGCGCCCGAAACUGCAGAGCUUGAGUGCCGGAGAGGGUGGCGGAAUUCCCCAAGUAGAGGUGAAAUUCGUAGAUAUGGGGAGGAACACCGGUGGCGAAGGCGGCCACCUGGACGGUAACUGACGCUGAGACGCGAAAGCGUGGGUAGCAAACAGG